rnacentral:rRNA from 1 species
UACGGGGGGGGCAAGCGUUGUUCGGAAUUACUGGGCGUAAAGGGCUCGUAGGCGGCCAACUAAGUCAGACGUGAAAUCCCUCGGCUUAACCGGGGAACUGCGUCUGAUACUGGAUGGCUUGAGGUUGGGAGAGGGAUGCGGAAUUCCAGGUGUAGCGGUGAAAUGCGUAGAUAUCUGGAGGAACACCGGUGGCGAAGGCGGCAUCCUGGACCAAUUCUGACGCUGAGGAGCGAAAGCCAGGGGGAGCAAACGGGG